CUUUUAUCAUUGUAUUUUCACCCCCUGAACUUUAUUUGUCCGUGUUUGAUACAGUUUCUUCAAAAUAUCCAUUUUUUCUGGAAGGAUGUCAGUAAAUUUUGCAUAGCAACCAUUAGCGAAGUUUUUUUUUUUUUGGUUGCUAUGGGCUUUCUAUCCCCAAACUGCAUAUUUUUUGCCCAUAACCCCUCGGAUACACUAUAGACAUCCCCCCCCUAUUUCUGUGACUGGAAUGAAGCCUGAUCGCAGGCCUAAACACUGAAUUUUGCCUGUCUUUUUACGCUGUGCCUGUAUUGCAAAGAUCAACAACUGCGAAGUGAAAUUUUGUAUACGACAAUCUCUUUCAAUCUAGUUAUAUUUGAAGCGUUUUAAAGUUAUUUUUUAACUUGAAAAUGGCGAGGGAAGAUAGGAGAAAGAGUAGAUCGGCAAAGAAAAGAAAAAGGAGAGGAUUUUUUGGCCAUAGACCGCAGGAGAAAGCUGGCGAGUUUAGGAAUUGUGCUGUGACUAUGGACGCGAAUGUCCGCAGUUUGUCUGUUGUUAGCGACGUCCCAGUGUCUAAUUUAUCAGCCGAUCACGAGAGUAUUUCAUCUAAGAAACUGCUGAACAGUUCCUUCGAGAAAUUCGAGAGUAGAAGAGGAAUUUUGACCCGAAAACAUGCGAAAGAUAU